CCUAUUUUGUUGAAAAAAAAAUAGAAUUAUUAUGAGAUACGAGUCCAUCGCUCAGUCAAAAUGAGGAAGUGAAAUUUGGCAUUCAAGUGUAACGACAAUCCAAUGGCAGAAAAAAUUUCAAGCAGCCAGAGGAUAGUACAGCCUUGAGCUUUGGGUAUACAUACGUGUAUAUGUAUGUAUAUCGUUCUCAGUACAUCGAUUUUGUUAUCACUGAUUAUAUUUUUCGUUCCAAAGUUUAUAAUGGAUCAUUUCUAAAGCAUUUGAACGAUGAAAAAUUAUUCAACAGGAAGCAAGAAAGUUCUUUCGGUGUUGAAAUUUGUACACAUCUUAUCAUAAUAGUUCAAAACGUAUCUACAAUCAUAGGAAGGCUGAAUAUUUGGAGCUGAAUCUGUUAAAACUAUGAGUUACACUUUCUAAAUGAAUAAUUCAUUGAAUCCGAAGAUUUUCAGCGAAUAUUAGUUAACUAUUUUCGAAAUACUUCAAUAGAAGAGAAUAAUGGAAAAUCGUAUGUCUACAAUUUUCUCCAAUACGACUCAGAAUAAAAGGAAAUCGAAAGUUACAGAGAAAAUUACUGUGCUUCAUUUUCCUUUCACAAAUUUACAUUAUAUUAUAUUCAAAUACGUGUAUAUACACUUAUUUCUGUACAUCGUCUUAAACUUUGAAAUCAUUCUCCAGAUUAUUCCUGCUUAUCAUUUUAAGCAUAUCCACGCGAUAUGCGUAUUGUAUAAUAACCCCAAAUAUCAAAAUAAAAAACAUAAAUUAAUCUGCUAGACAAGAAAAAUAUUAAUAAUAACAACAAUAAUGGCAGAGGUCAAUAUUAUCAUUUGAAUAUUUAAAAGCCAAUAUUAAGUUAGACGCAGAGCGACCCAAUUUUCAAUCAAUUUCUAUUCAUUUUUAUUCUUUAUUUCAAGAUCAUGAAAAAAAAAAAUUAAUAAAAAAAUAAUGUGACACAAUAGAAGUUACAGAACGCACACUUUGAACUGUCAAAAUUAUUAUUUGAAUAAAUUUAUCGAUUGCAAACAAAAGGUAGAAACAAACGUCACAUGAAUCGUGAUAACCAAGGCAUAACUUGACAUUUCAGAUAUGAAAAAAGAUGUAAUCACGAAAUCAAUUCAAUUACCUAGAUAAUUUUUAUCGUUUUCUACUUUUUGAUUACAACCGGUAGCUUAAUAAAGUGCACCUCUCCAAUUAAUGAAUUACCUCAACCAUUGAUGUCAUUCGAUACAAAUCGCAUAUGAUGCAUAAAUUUCUCGGAACGAUACCGUUCGCGAUACGAUCAUAUUGAUAAAAUCUUAAAUUGUAUGCUUUUAAUGUCCUAGACACCAUUUUUAAAGUUAUUCAAACUGGUCCAUUUAAAUAACAAAACACAAUAGAAAAAAACGAUCAGCUGUCAAAUCAAUGAUAGUGUUUUUUUCUCUACAUAAGAUUUUAUUAUUUUUGACAAGCGUCUAAAGGUAAUGAGUAAGGACGAUGAUGACACUAAUUAGUUAAAAAAUGUAAAACUUACGGGUCUCUCAAUACUGGGGCAAUUUUAAGUAUGGUGGCUAAAAAUGCCUCGUCGUGGCAAACCAUAACCGGCUUUCGAGCCGCGCUAUUGACAUUCAAUAUGCGGAACAGAAUGCAGAGUAUAACCGCGAAUACGGCCAGUUAAUUGAUUCCACACCGCCAAAUUAUUUCAUCAACGGUGGGAUGGACCCAGCUGAUGGCCCCACGGUUGAAUUUGAGAGUAUUUCAAUAACCCCACGAUAAUUGGUGGCCAACUUUCGGUCUUUAGGUACGACCUGGCUUCUGGAUUGAAUGAAAACUGACAAAAGAAAAAAAAAAAAAGGUAUAAGAAAAACGAGUUAAAGCUGCGCAUCAAUCGAAACUUAGAUUUUAUUCAAGAACUGCGUGCAGGACGGUAUGUCGAUAAUACGGCGAAUAAAACUGACACCCAAUAGCCCAAACUUUAGAACCGUUAAUAUUCAGAUUUUACUAGACAGCUGAACUGAAUUUGCGACUAUUUUUUCCUUCUUUAUCUCUGACCUCUUCGACAAACGACAAAUAAUUAAUCUCACUACGGUUCUCCACUUUUCUUUAAAGAAAACCACCGCCAACGAGCAGAGUGAAUCAUUCUCAUCGCUGCUGGUGUUGUUAUUAUUAUCAUUAUUAUUUUGUUCAACAAACAUUUCGGUUUUUCUUUCAACAAUCCCCUCAAAGGUGGCGACACGUACCGGAGAUGAAAAUUGUUGCACUCCGUGUUUGCCACAUGGAAAAAUUCAAACUAAUCCAAUAUAAUUUGACGAUCAUUUCUCAACGAAGAUUAAAAAUUAUAGACACGUGAUAAGGUGUCCGCAGAUGCUCUUUAAUUUUGGGCACCAUUUCCGUGAAAAUUAUCGUCCCAACAAGAACAAGAAGCGUUCCUAUCCAAUGGUGAAUGGUGAAUGGAUUCGAAAAAUACACGACAGAAAAUAAUAAGGACACAAAUUUUCUCAACGUCACAACCAGCGUCACAGUCAGCGACGUACACUCCGUCGUAAGCACGUAAACAGAACUGAUGCAAAUGUACCUAAAAUGUAUGGCUAAGGAACAACUUUUUAAAAAUUCAAA